rnacentral:rRNA from 1 species
CAGUAGCCACGGUAAUACGAAAGGUCCAAGCGUUACUCGGAAUUACUGGGCGUAAAGCGCGCGUAGGCGGUCUUGUAUGUCGAUUGUGAAAGCCCCGGGCUCAACCUGGGAACUGCAGUCGAAACUGCAAGACUUGAAUGUUGGAGAGGUUGGGGGAAUACCUAGUGGAGAAGUGAAAUUCGUAGAGAUUAGGUGGAACACCAGAGGCGAAGGCGCCUGACUGGCCAAACAUUGACGCUAAGGCGCGAAAGCGUGGGUAGCAAACAGGAUUAGAUACCCCGGUAGUCCCUGUCUCUUAUAC